rnacentral:rRNA from 1 species
GACGAACGCUGGCGGCGUGCUUAACACAUGCAAGUCGUGCGGUAAGGCCCUUUCUGGGGUACACGAGCGGCGCACGGGUGAGUAACACGUGUGCAACCUGCCCUUCUCUUUGGGAUAACUGCCGGAAACGGUGGCUAAUUCCGGAUAUGACUUCCUCACGCAUGUGGGGUGGUGUAAAGCCUUCGGGUGGUGGGGGAUGGGCUCGCGGUCUAUCCGCUUGUUGGUGGGGUGAUGGCCUCCCAAGGCUUAGACGGGUAGCCGGCCUGAGAGGGUGACCGGCGACAAUGGGACUGAGAGACGGCCCAGACUGCUAAGGGAGGCAGCAGGGGGGAAUAUGGGACAAUGGGCGAAAGCCUGAGCAAGAAACGUCGCGUGAGGGAUGAAGGCCUUCGGGGUGUAAACCUCUUUAGCCUGCGACGAAGCGAGAGUGACGGUAGCAGGUAAAGAAGCACCGGCCAACUACGUG